rnacentral:tRNA from 1 species
ACAAUAGCUCAGUUGGUAGAGCGUUGGCUUCCCAAGCCGAAGGUCGCGGGUUCGAGUCCCGUUUGUC